AACGAACGCUGGCGGCAUGCCUAACACAUGCAAGUCGAACGAGACCUUCGGGUCUAGUGGCGCACGGGUGCGUAACGCGUGGGAACCUGCCCUUAGGUUCGGAAUAACUCCCCGAAAGGGGUGCUAAUACCGGAUAAUGUCUUCGGACCAAAGAUUUAUCGCCUUUGGAUGGGCCCGCGUUGGAUUAGCUAGUUGGUAGGGUAAAAGCCUACCAAGGCGACGAUCCAUAGCUGGUCUGAGAGGAUGAUCAGCCACACUGGGACUGAGACACGGCCCCGACUCCUACGGGAGGCAGCAGUGGGGAAUAUUGGACAAUGGGCGAAAGCCUGAUCCAGCAAUGCCGCGUGAGUGAUGAAGGCCUUAGGGUUGUAAAGCUCUUUUACCCGGGAUGAUAAUGACAGUACCGGGAGAAUAAGCUCCGGCUAACUCCGUG
rnacentral:rRNA from 1 species